GGGUUGUGAGGUUAAGCGACUAAGCGUACACGGUGGAUGCCCUGGCAGUCAGAGGCGAUGAAGGACGUGCUAAUCUGCGAUAAGCGCCGGUAAGGUGAUAUGAACCGUUAUAACCGGCGAUUUCCGAAUGGGGAAACCCAGUGUGACUCGUCACACUAUCAUUAACUGAAUCCAUAGGUUAAUGAGGCGAACCGGGGGAACUGAAACAUCUAAGUACCCCGAGGAAAAGAAAUCAACCGAGAUUCCCCCAGUAGCGGCGAGCGAACGGGGAGGAGCCCAGAGCCUGAAUCAGCAUGUGUGUUAGUGGAAGCGUCUGGAAAGGCGCGCGAUACAGGGUGACAGCCCCGUACACAAAAGCGCAUGUGCUGUGAGCUCGAUGAGUAGGGCGGGACACGUGGUAUCCUGUCUGAAUAUGGGGGGACCAUCCUCCAAGGCUAAAUACUCCUGACUGACCGAUAGUGAACCAGUACCGUGAGGGAAAGGCGAAAAGAACCCCGGCGAGGGGAGUGAAAAAGAACCUGAAACCGUGUACGUACAAGCAGUGGGAGCACAGGUUUACCUGUGUGACUGCGUACCUUUUGUAUAAUGGGUCAGCGACUUAUAUUCUGUAGCAAGGUUAACCGUAUAGGGGAGCCGGAGGGAAACCGAGUCUUAAUUGGGCGUUAAGUUGCAGGGUAUAGACCCGAAACCCGGUGAUCUAGCCAUGGGCAGGUUGAAGGUUGGGUAACACUAACUGGAGGACCGAACCGACUAAUGUUGAAAAAUUAGCGGAUGACCUGUGGCUGGGGGUGAAAGGCCAAUCAAACCGGGAGAUAGCUGGUUCUCCCCGAAAGCUAUUUAGGUAGCGCCUCGUGAAUUCAUCUCCGGGGGUAGAGCACUGUUUCGGCUAGGGGGCCAUCCCGGCUUACCAACCCGAUGCAAACUGCGAAUACCGGAGAAUGUUAUCACGGGAGACACACGGCGGGUGCUAACGUCCGUCGUGAAGAGGGAAACAACCCAGACCGCCAGCUAAGGUCCCAAAGUCAUGGUUAAGUGGGAAACGAUGUGGGAAGGCCCAGACAGCCAGGAUGUUGGCUUAGAAGCAGCCAUCAUUUAAAGAAAGCGUAAUAGCUCACUGGUCGAGUCGGCCUGCGCGGAAGAUGUAACGGGGCUAAACCAUGCACCGAAGCUGCGGCAGCGAACGUAUCACCCAAGACAACUUUACGGAGUUGACGAUUGACGGAGCGAAGCGACGUCAAAGCGUUCAUUAAAGUCGAGUUGGCUUAGGGAUACGUUCGUUGGGUAGGGGAGCGUUCUGUAAGCCUGUGAAGGUGUGUCGUGAGGCAUGCUGGAGGUAUCAGAAGUGCGAAUGCUGACAUAAGUAACGAUAAAGCGGGUGAAAAGCCCGCUCGCCGGAAGACCAAGGGUUCCUGUCCAACGUUAAUCGGGGCAGGGUGAGUCGACCCCUAAGGCGAGGCCGAAAGGCGUAGUCGAUGGGAAACGGGUUAAUAUUCCCGUACUUGGUGUUACUGCGAAGGGGGGACGGAGAAGGCUAUGUUGGCCGGGCGACGGUUGUCCCGGUUUAAGCGUGUAGGCUGGUUUUCCAGGCAAAUCCGGAAAAUCAAGGCUGAGGCGUGACGACGAGGCACUACGGUGCUGAAGCAACAAAUGCCCUGCUUCCAGGAAAAGCCUCUAAGCAUCAGGUAACAUCAAAUCGUACCCCAAACCGACACAGGUGGUCAGGUAGAGAAUACCAAGGCGCUUGAGAGAACUCGGGUGAAGGAACUAGGCAAAAUGGUGCCGUAACUUCGGGAGAAGGCACGCUGACAUGUAGGUGAAGUGAUUUACUCAUGGAGCUGAAGUCAGUCGAAGAUACCAGCUGGCUGCAACUGUUUAUUAAAAACACAGCACUGUGCAAACACGAAAGUGGACGUAUACGGUGUGACGCCUGCCCGGUGCCGGAAGGUUAAUUGAUGGGGUCAGCGCAAGCGAAGCUCCUGAUCGAAGCCCCGGUAAACGGCGGCCGUAACUAUAACGGUCCUAAGGUAGCGAAAUUCCUUGUCGGGUAAGUUCCGACCUGCACGAAUGGCGUAAUGAUGGCCAGGCUGUCUCCACCCGAGACUCAGUGAAAUUGAACUCGCUGUGAAGAUGCAGUGUACCCGCGGCAAGACGGAAAGACCCCGUGAACCUUUACUAUAGCUUGACACUGAACAUUGAGCCUUGAUGUGUAGGAUAGGUGGGAGGCUUUGAAGCGUGGACGCCAGUCUGCGUGGAGCCGACCUUGAAAUACCACCCUUUAAUGUUUGAUGUUCUAACGUGGACCCGUAAUCCGGGUUGCGGACAGUGUCUGGUGGGUAGUUUGACUGGGGCGGUCUCCUCCUAAAGAGUAACGGAGGAGCACGAAGGUUGGCUAAUCCUGGUCGGACAUCAGGAGGUUAGUGCAAUGGCAUAAGCCAGCUUGACUGCGAGCGUGACGGCGCGAGCAGGUGCGAAAGCAGGUCAUAGUGAUCCGGUGGUUCUGAAUGGAAGGGCCAUCGCUCAACGGAUAAAAGGUACUCCGGGGAUAACAGGCUGAUACCGCCCAAGAGUUCAUAUCGACGGCGGUGUUUGGCACCUCGAUGUCGGCUCAUCACAUCCUGGGGCUGAAGUAGGUCCCAAGGGUAUGGCUGUUCGCCAUUUAAAGUGGUACGCGAGCUGGGUUUAGAACGUCGUGAGACAGUUCGGUCCCUAUCUGCCGUGGGCGCUGGAGAACUGAGGGGGGCUGCUCCUAGUACGAGAGGACCGGAGUGGACGCAUCACUGGUGUUCGGGUUGUCAUGCCAAUGGCACUGCCCGGUAGCUAAAUGCGGAAGAGAUAAGUGCUGAAAGCAUCUAAGCACGAAACUUGCCCCGAGAUGAGUUCUCCCUGAGACUUUAGGUCUCCUGAAGGAACGUUGAAGACGACGACGUUGAUAGGCCGGGUGUGUAAGCGCAGCGAUGCGUUGAGCUAACCGGUACUAAUGAACCGUGAGGCUUAACCUUACAACGCCGAAG
rnacentral:rRNA from 2 species